AAAACCCUAAUACCACUUGCAGCGUUGCUGGUGCUCAAAAUAUUCCAUUCACCGGAGAAUAGUUUCCAUUUUCCAGCAAUUGUUCUUCAUUGGCGACUGUUCUUGUCUAGUGAAAUUUCUUUUGUUUCCAUUUUGAAGCCUAUUUGUUGAUCAGCGAGUGUUCUUCACUGAGAUAAAGCUUCAUUGGCUGAAAGUUUCUAAAGCACCUAUCCGACCUGGGAACCAAAUACUCAGGGAAAGCAAUUCCUUGCUACUGUAAACAGUUUUCGCUCAUCUGGGUGCUUUCAGCUCAUCAACUCCUUUCUUUCGAGAAAGUGUGUUUCCAGCACAAUGAUGGGGGUCAUCCAGAACAUGCCGCUCAAUCUCAACCAAACAGUCAAGGAAGCUAUGCUGAUCAAUCGUCACCAUCUAUAGUCAAGGAGCUUGUGCCUAAUGGGAAUGAGGGUUCAUCAUCUAUAGUGGAUUCUCCUUUCUCUGACUAUUACAGUGAAUUUACUUCUUGCACAGGAUGAUUACCCGUGCAUAUCAAUCAUUCUAACAAGAAAAGCAAGAGUUUUCUCAAGAGUUUUCCCUUGAGGAUGAGCAAACAAUUUUUGAACUUGUAUCUUUUGCUCUCUUUUUUUAUCAAGUAGAAAUAAGAAUAGUUUCAGCCUUUCAGGCACCUAACCCUUUUACCACUUUACCACUUAUACAGAUUUUUCUUCUUUUUAUUGAUUUUUUACACUUGUAAUAUGUUAUAUAUGGAAAACCAAGACUUGGGUUGAUUUGCCACUCCA